rnacentral:lncRNA from 1 species
UUAUACCUAGAAAAAUUCAAGGAACAAGAAUUUGAAGAGGAAAACAUUUAUUAUGUUAUGUUGUUAUGGGCAUUCGAAAAACAGAAUGGUAGCCACUGAAGGCUUAAUUCGAUACAUUCAAGUGAUCAAUAGGUUACAGAGGGUCAGGCCAUGGUGAGAGGCAGUAGAAGAGUCCUUGGCCCACCAAGAAAGGGUGCACGGUAGACAGCCAGGCUUGGCGUUCUGCAUGGAUCCCAGAUGGAGAAAGUUUCCAAAUCCGGACUCCCUUGUCCUCACUGAUUGCAUCAUCCUUUAAAAAAUUCCGCACCUAGGCAUUGUAUUUAUGUAAUCAAUGACCCACUGUGAUGUGUGGCAUUCACCUGACCUGGAGAAAAGGCGGUCUGAGACGGCUGUGUGGUGAGUUGGGCUUUGUGGCCACAGGGAGCAGAAAUCAGCAUGUGCUAAAACUGGAAAUUCAGAGGAAGAAAAUGAAUAGCGCUGAGAUGUCUCAAGGUGGUGCCGAUUUCUGCAGUUUUAUGUCCAUAGAUUCGGCCAGCUACAGAUUGAAAAUAUUCAGUAACCACUACACUACAGAAACCUAC